AGGUAAAUUCUGACCCGCACGAAAGGUGUAAUGAUCCCUUCGCUGUCUCGGCUGCAGACUCGGUGAAAUUUUAGUACCGGUGAAGAUGCCGGUUACCCGCAACUAGACGGAAAGACCCCGUGGAGCUUUACUAUAACUUGAUAUUGAAAUUUGGUGUAACGUGUAGAGGAUAGGUGGGAGACUAUGAGACCAGGACGCCAGUACUGGUGGAGUCAACCUUGGAAUACCACCCUCGUUACAUUGGGUUUCUAACUUCGACCCGUUAUCCGGGUUAAGGACAGUGUCUGGUGGGUAGUUUGACUGGGGCGGUCGCCUCCCAAAAAGUAACGGAGGCGCUCAAAGGUAUCCUCAGUAUGGUUGGAAAUCAUACAUAGAGCGCAAAGGUAGAAGGAUGCUUAACUGCGAGACUUACAAGUCGAACAGAUACGAAAGUAGGACUUAGUGAUCCGGCGGUCCCGAGUGGAAGGGCCGUCGCUCAACGGAUAAAAGUUACCCCGGGGAUAACAGGCUUAUCUCCCCCAAGAGUUCACAUCGACGGGGAGGUUUGGCACCUCGAUGUCGGCUCAUCGCAUCCUGGAGCUGUAGUCGGUUCCAAGGGUUGGGCUGUUCGCCCAUUAAAGCGGUACGCGAGCUGGGUUCAGAACGUCGUGAGACAGUUUGGUCCCUAUCUGUUGUGGGCGUAGGAAAAUUGAAGAGAGCUGUUCCUAGUACGAGAGGACCGGAAUGGACGCACCCCUGGUGCUCCUGUUGUCACGCCAGUGGCAUAGCAGGGUAGCUAUGUGCGGACAGGAUAAUCGCUGAAGGCAUCUAAGCGAGAAGCCCCC
rnacentral:rRNA from 1 species